rnacentral:misc_RNA from 1 species
GAUGAAGAACGUAGUGAAAUGCGAUAAGUAGUGUGAAUUGCAGAAUUCAGUGAAUCAUCGAAUCUUUGAACGCACAUUGCGCCCCUUGGUAUUCCAUGGGGCAUGCCUGUUCGAGCGUCAUUUGUACCCUCAAGUUUUGCUUGGUGAUGGGUGUUUGUUCCGCUGCAACGCGUGAACUCGCCUCAAAUCAAUUGGCAGCCGGCAAUCUGGUGUUUGAGCGCAGCACAUUUUGCGCUCUUCGCUGUGUAUUGCGGGCGUCCAUGACGCCUAUAUUUUCACGCUUGACCUCGGAUCAGGUAGGGAUACCCGCUGAACUUAAGCAUAUCAAUAAGCGGAGGA